UUGUUUCUCCUUUUCUUUUCUCAUUCUCUUCCUUUACUUCAUAGUUGAUAGUACUUUCUGAUUUGUGUUGAGAGUAAGCAACGCGGCAAGAGAUGUGGAGGUGAAGUGUGCCAUGGAAGACGACGGUGGCUUAAGAUCGUUGAGGUGUAGCCGAGCACAGCGACGUCGGACCUGAAGAUAGUGGACCAUAGCCAUCUAUCCCACCGACCACCGUCAUCUCUAUCUCUCUCUUAAUUCAACGGCGGAGGAGGAUAAGUAUUAAAUCCCGGUAUGAAAGAUACUACAGGUAUGAAAGAUUGUCCGUUUUAUCUAAAAACUGUUCGGUUCGGUUAUGGUAGACAUGGCAUUUACAAUCAACUGUCCUACUCAUUCCCCACCGAUUGUAAGGUGCAGUUUUUAGAUUUAUGUUUUUUUUAUCAAGUUUGAGAGUGAUUAGCCAUAUCCAUUUCAGUGGGGUUAAACGUUUUUUAUUUUGAUUAUCAGGCCAGAACUUUUGAUUGGAGAUUUGAUAAGAGAACUCAGAAGCUACACGACAGAAAGUCAAGAUAUAUGCCAGUGAAUAUGUUAACUAAACUGAAUGUGAUUUUAUGUUUAUACUUUCUUGAAUUCAUUUUAGGUUUGGUUUAACGUUGUCUUCGUAUUUUGAUUCUCAGGCUAGAACAAUGGAUUUGAGGGCGAGCAGAUCCACAUGGAUAUCAAGAUCCAAAUCAGAAGCCAAAGAUUCAGGCGAAUAAAGAUAAGUAGAGAUGCGAGAGACGUGACCAACAGCUUCUCGAACAAAAUCCAAAGAGACCACAUAAUUUCGCAGAGGAGAAGCUACAGUAGAGAAGAUAUGUGGUCAGAUCUCUGUUGGUCGAAACAUUGGUACCACUAGAGUUCUGAGAUCUGGUUGCAAAAUUAACUUCCUUAGGAGGAGGAGGCAGAGAUUAGCCUCACUCGAGAAGAAUAGAAAGAAGCUUGCUCCUGCCCCCAACAAACCGGACACGUUUUUGAUUGCUCCUGGAGUUAGCGUCCUGGCCGGGACGCUUUCUGCUGCUGAAAUUGCCUCUGUCAUUAACAAGUAUGGAUCUCCUCGCCCUAGAAUGGAAAGCAGAUGGAGGAGAACGGAAGUCUUUGCAGUAGCCAAAUGGUCGAGCGCUCCUCAAAAAUAUUUUAGAGAUGCAGUGAUCGAGAUGAUCAUAGAGAAUGGUAUCAACCACCAGGAAGAACUCAAAGAGGUUCUCAUUUGUUAUCUCAGAUUCAACACCGACGAAUAUCAUGUCGACAUGAACAUCAAUAUGUUUCAGCAGAUGUUUAAGACAUGGGAAAAAAUUAUGGAGGAAAGACUAAGGGGGAAACAAAAUGAUACUUAUAGCAAACUUGGGAGUGAAGAAACUGGUGUCUCAGUGGAAAAGGUGAAAGCGAAGUGGUGGGGGAAGUUAAGGAGUACUAGGUAUUAAUGGCCUGUUUCUUUUCUCGAGAUGCAGAUCUUUUUUUCAAAACACGUUUAGUGUCAUUUGAGGUUUUGGUUUUGUUGCUGAGAAGGUUCCAUGGCAUUAAAAUUGAGUUAUGUUUCUCAUGGCCAUCCAAAUCGUAUAUAAAAUUUAGUAAAUAAUUUUUAUUAAA